GGGCCCGCACAAGCAGUGGAGCAUGUGGUUUAAUUCGAUGCAACGCGAAGAACCUUACCAGGCCUUGACAUCCUCGGAACUUUCUAGAGAUAGAUUGGUGCCUUCGGGAACCGAGUGACAGGUGCUGCAUGGCUGUCGUCAGCUCGUGUCGUGAGAUGUUCGGUUAAGUCCCGUAACGAGCGCAACCCCUAUCCUUAUUUGCCAGCACAUCAUGGUGGGAACUAUAAGGAGACUGCCGGUGAUAAACCGGAGGAAGGCGGGGACGACGUCAAGUCAUCAUGGCCCUUACGACCAGGGCUACACACGUGCUACAAUGGGAAGGACAAAGAGCCGCGAAGCCGCGAGGGGGAGCCAAUCCGACAAACCUAGUCGUAGUCCGGAUCGGAGUCUGCAACUCGACUCCGUGAAGUCGGAAUUGCUAGUAAUCG
rnacentral:rRNA from 1 species